rnacentral:rRNA from 1 species
UACGUAGGGUGCGAGCGUUAAUCGGAAUUACUGGGCGUAAAGCGUGCGCAGGCGGUAAUGUAAGACAGAUGUGAAAUCCCCGGGCUCAACCUGGGACCUGCAUUUGUGACUGCAUUGCUGGAGUGCGGCAGAGGGGAUGGAAUUCCGCGUGUAGCAGUGAAAUGCGUAGAUAUGCGGAGGAACACCGAUGGCGAAGGCAAUCCCCUGGGCCUGCACUGACGCUCAUGCACGAAAGCGUGGGGAGCAAACAGG